rnacentral:RNase_P_RNA from 1 species
AGAGAAGGCCGGACGGUCGCCGGUCGCAGCCACGCGACCGGAGGAAAGUCCGGGCUCCACAGGGCAGGGUGCUGGGUAACACCCAGGGGGGGCGACCCCACGGCUCAGUGCCACAGAAAACAGACCGCCUCCCGCCGCGCCCUGCGGCGGGCGGCAAGGGUGAAACGGUGAGGUAAGAGCUCACCAGCGGCGCGGGUGACCGCGCCGGCUCGGCAAACCCCACCCGGAGCAAGGCCGAAUAGGGGAGCGAUGGAGUGGCCCGCUCCGCUCCCGGGUCAGGCCGCUAGAGGCGCCGGGUAACCGGCGUCCCAGAGAGAUGACCGUCGCCCCGCGCGAGCGGGGUACAGGACCCGGCUUACAGGCCUUCUCUGGCG